rnacentral:rRNA from 1 species
CAGAUCCUAUUAGCGGCGGACUGGUGAGUAACGCGUGGGUGACCUACCUUGAAGGCUUGGGGAUAGCUGAUAGAAAUAGCAGGUAAUACCGAAUACGAUCGCAGGACUAUGGUUUUGUGAUGAAAGGAGCUACGUGCUCCGCCUUAAGAUGGGCCCGCGUCCCAUUAGCUAGUUGGCGGUGUAACUGACCACCAAGGCGAAGAUGGGUAGCCGGCCUGAGAGGGUGAACGGCACAUUGGGACUGAGAUACGGCCCAAACUCCUACGGGAGGCAGCAGCUAAGAAUAUUCCGCAAUGGACGCAAGUCUGACGGAGCGACGCCGCGUGGAUGAGGAAGGCCGAAAGGUUGUAAAAUCCUUUUGCCGAUGAAGAAUAAAUGCGGUAGGGAAUGACCGCAUGAUGACGUUAGUCUGCGAAUAAGCCCCGGCUAAUUACGUGC